rnacentral:rRNA from 1 species
UAGAAUUCCACGUGUAGCGGUGAAAUGCGUAGAGAUGUGGAGGAAUACCGGUGGCGAAGGCGGCCUUCUGGACAGAUACUGACGCUGAGAUGCGAAAGCGUGGGGAGCAAACAGGAUUAGAUACCCUGGUAGUCCACGCUGUAAACGAUGUCGAUUUGGAGUUUGUUGCCUAGAGUGAUGGGCUCCGAAGCUAACGCGAUAAAUCGACCGCCUGGGGAGUACGGCCGCAAGGUUAAAACUCAAAUGAAUUGACGGGGGCCCGCACAAGCGGUGGAGCAUGUGGUUUAAUUCGAUGCAACGCGAAGAACCUUACCUGGUCUUGACAUCCACAGAAUCUUGCAGAGAUGCGAGAGUGCCUUCGGGAACUGUGAGACAGGUGCUGCAUGGCUGUCGUCAGCUCGUGUUGUGAAAUGUUGGGUUAAGUCCCGCAAACGAGCGCAACCCCUAUCCUUUGUUGCCAUCGGUUAGGCCGGGAACUCAAAGGAGACUGCCGUUGAUAAAGCGGAGAAGGUGGGGACGACGUCAAGUCAUCAUGGCCCUUACGACCAGGGCUACACACGUGCUACAUGGCGUAUACAAAGGGAGGCGACUCGCGAGAGCAAGCGGACCUCAUAAAGCACGUCUAGUCCGGAUGGAGUCUGCACUCGACUCCAUGAAGUCGGAAUCGCUAGUAAUCGUGAAUCAGAAUGU